CCCUACGGGGUGCAGCAGGCGCGAAACCUUUACAAUGCACGAAAGUGUGAUAAGGGAAUCCCGAGUGCUCAUGUUAUGCAUGGGCUUUUUUUAAGAGUAAAAAUCUUAAAGAAUAAGUGGUGGGUAAGACUGGUGCCAGCCGCCGCGGUAACACCAGCGCCACGAGUGGCGAUCAUAUUUAUUGGGCCUAAAGCGUUCGUAGCCGGUUUGAUAAAUUCUUUGUGAAAUCGUUGUGCUCAACAUAACGACGUGCAGAGAAGACUGUCAAACUUGGGACCGGAAGGGGUUAGAAGAAUUUCAUGAGGAGCGGUAAAAUGCUAUAAUCCAUGAAGGACUACCUGUAGCGAAGGCGUCUAACCAGUACGGAUCCGACGGUGAGGAACGAAAGCUAGGGGAGCGAUCCGGAUUAGAUACCCGAGUAGUCCUAGCUGUAAACGCUGCGAGCUAGGUGUUGCAUAAUCUCCGUGAUUAUGCAGUGUCGGAGCGAAGGUGUUAAGCUCGCCGCCUGGGAAGUACGGUCGCAAGACUGAAACUUAAAGGAAUUGACAAGGGAGCAC
rnacentral:rRNA from 1 species